UCAAUAAGCGGAGGAAAAGAAACCAACAGGGAUUGCCCUAGUAACGGCGAGUGAAGCGGCAACAGCUCAAAUUUGAAAUCUGGCGCAAGCCCGAGUUGUAAUUUGUAGAGGAUGCUUCUGGGCAGCGGCCAGUCUAAGUUCCUUGGAACAGGACGUCACAGAGGGUGAGAAUCCCGUACGUGACUGGCGCGCACCCUCCACGUAGCUCCUUCGACGAGUCGAGUUGUUUGGGAAUGCAGCUCUAAAUGGGAGGUAAAUUUCUUCUAAAGCUAAAUACCGGCCAGAGACCGAUAGCGCACAAGUAGAGUGAUCGAAAGAUGAAAAGCACUUUGGAAAGAGAGUUAAAAAGCACGUGAAAUUGUUGAAAGGGAAGCGCUUGCAACCAGACUCCGUGGCGGUGUUCCGCCGGUCUUCUGACCGGUCUACUCGCCGCCGCGGGGCCAACAUCGUCUGGGGCCGCCGGAUAAGACCGUAGGAAUGUGGCUCCCUCGGGAGUGUUAUAGCCUGCGGUGAUGCGGCGCGUCCCGGGCGAGGUCCGCGCUUCGGCAAGGAUGUUGGCGUAAUGGUUGCCAGCGGCCCGUCUUGAAACACGGACCAAGGAGUCUAACAUCUAUGCGAGUGUUCGGGUGUCAAACCCCUACGCGUAAUGAAAGUGAACGGAGGUGGGAGCUUCGGCGCACCAUCGACCGAUCCUGAUGUCCUCGGAUGGAUUUGAGUAAGAGCAUAGCUGUUGGGACCCGAAAGAUGGUGAACUAUGCCUGAAUAGGGUGAAGCCAGAGGAAACUCUGGUGGAGGCUCGCAGCGGUUCUGACGUGCAAAUCGAUCGUCAAAUUUGGGUAUAGGGGCGAAAGACUAAUCGAACCAUCUAGUAGCUGGUCCUGCCGAU
rnacentral:rRNA from 1 species